rnacentral:sRNA from 2 species
ACCAGAUACCCACCAGAUCCAUGUGGACAGGGGCGGGGAAACCACCGCGGGCCCACCCAGGCCCGCACCGGUCGGCGGCUUCCAGCGGAAGCCUCCGCCCUCGGGGUGAAGCCUCACAGCAGUGAGGCCGGGCACAGUGAUCCUCAGCCCGAACCCGACAGCUCACCUCGCAGGCGACCAUGAGAGGAACA